UAAGGUCAAGCUACAAAGGGCGCAUGGUGAAUGCCUUGGCACUAGGAGCCGAUGAAGGACGUGAUAAGCUGCGAUAAGCUUCGGGUAGGCGCAAAUAGCCUGUGAACCGAAGAUUUCCGAAUGAGGAAACUCUCAUGGGUAACCCCAUGAACUGUAUACUGAAUUCAUAGGUAUAUAGAGGUAAACCCGGGGAACUGAAACAUCUAAGUACCUGGAGGAAGAGAAAGAAAAAUCGAUUUCCUUAGUAGCGGCGAGCGAAACGGAAAGAGCCCAAACCGGAAACUUGUUUCCGGGGUUGCGGUCAGAUCAUUAAGGCUUUAUAUCUUAACCGAAGAUUUCUGGAAAGUUAAACCAUAGAAGGUAAUAGUCCUGUAGGUAAAAAGAGAAAAAAGCCCGAUCUGUACCAGAGUACCACGAGACACGUGAAACCUUGUGGGAAGCUGGGAGGACCACCUCCCAAGGCUAAAUACUACCUAGUGACCGAUAGUGAAGAAGUACCGUGAGGGAAAGGUGAAAAGAACCCCAGGAGGGGAGUGAAAUAGAACCUGAAACCGUGUGUCCACAACCGAUCAAAACACGUUAAUGUGUGAUGAUGUGCUUUUUGUAGAACGAGCCAGCGAGUUACGGUAUGCAGCAAGGUUAAGCACUUAAGGUGCGCAGCCGAAGGGAAACCAAGUCUGAAUAGGGCGUAUAGUUGCAUGCUGUAGACCCGAAACCGGGUGACCUAUCCAUGGCCAGGGUGAAGCGGAAGUAAAAUUCCGUGGAGGCCCGAACCACAAUGGUGUUGAAAAACCAUGGGAUGAGCUGUGGAUAGGGGAGAAAUUCCAAUCGAACUCGGAUAUAGCUGGUUCUCCUCGAAAUAGCUUUAGGGCUAGCGCCAUGAAUGAGUACCGGAGGUAGAGCACUGAAUGAGGUAGGGGCUGACAACAGUUACCGAACUUUAUCAAACUCCGAAUGCUGGAUACUUGAAUCAUGGUAGUCAGACUGCGAAUGAUAAGAUCCGUAGUCAAAAGGGAAACAGCCCAGAUCACCAGCUAAGGUCCCAAAGUAUAGAUUAAGUGGUAAAGGAUGUGGGAUUUCUAAGACAACUAGGAUGUUGGCUCAGAAGCAGCCAUACAUUAAAAGAGUGCGUAAUAGCUCACUAGUCAAGAGAUCCUGCGCCGAAAAUGUCCGGGGCUAAAAUCUAACACCGAAGCUGUGAACUUGUACUUCGUACAAGUGGUAGAGGAGCAUCCUGUAUGGGCUGAAGUCGUACCGAAAGGAGCGGUGGACUGUACAGGAGAGAGUAUGCUGGCAUAAGUAGCGAGAACUAAGUGAGAAUCUUAGUGGUCGAAAACCUAAGGUUUCCUGGGGAAGGUUCGUCCGCCCAGGGUAAGUCGGGACCUAAGCCGAGGCCGAAAGGCGUAGGUGAUGGACAAUCGGUUGAUAUUCCGAUACCGCAGAGUAACGUUAUGAGAAAUGGGAUGACGCAGGAGGAUAGGAUAUGCGUACGUUAUUGGAAGUACGUCUAAGCACUGAGGAUGAAAGAUAGGAAAAUCCGUCUUUCGUUAAGUCUGGGGUGUAAUGGUGAGGUAGUUUACUACCGAAAUAUCUGAUUUCAUGCUGCCAAGAAAAGUCUCUAUCCAGGAGCUCUGUGCCCGUACCGCAAACCGACACAGGUAGGUGAGGAGAGAAUCCUAAGACCAUCGGAAGAAUUGCUGUUAAGGAACUCGGCAAAUUGACCCCGUAACUUCGGGAGAAGGGGUGCCUACGAGAGUAGGUCGCAGAGAAUAGGCCCAAGCAACUGUUUAUCAAAAACACAGGUUUCUGCUAAAGCGAAAGCUGAAGUAUAGGAGCUGACGCCUGCCCGGUGCUGGAAGGUUAAGGGGAAUGCUUAGCGCAAGCGAAGGCAUGAACUUAAGCCCCAGUAAACGGCGGCCGUAACUAUAACGGUCCUAAGGUAGCGAAAUUCCUUGUCGGGUAAGUUCCGACCCGCACGAAUGGCGUAAUGAUUUGGGCACUGUCUCAACAGCAAAUCCGGCGAAAUUGUAGUGCAAGUGAAGAUGCUUGCUACCCGCGAUUGGACGGAAAGACCCCGUAGAGCUUUACUGUAUCUUAGCAUUGAAUCUCGGUAUUGUCUGUACAGAAUAGGUGGGAGACUUGGAAGCAGUUCCGUCAGGGAUUGUGGAGUCGUCUUUGGGAUACCACCCUGACAGUACUGGGGUUCUAACCGGAGGCCAUGAAACUGGUCACGGGACAUAGCUAGGAGGGCAGUUUGACUGGGGCGGUCGCCUCC
rnacentral:rRNA from 1 species